UACGGAGGAUCCGAGCGUUAUCCGGAUUUAUUGGGUUUAAAGGGUGCGUAGGCGGCCUGUAAGUCAGUGGUGAAAUCUUCAAGCUUAACUUGGAAACUGCCAUUGAUACUAUAGGUCUUGAAUUAUCUGGAGGUAAGCGGAAUAUGUCAUGUAGCGGUGAAAUGCUUAGAGAUGACAUAGAACACCCAUUGCGAAGGCAGCUUACUACGGAUUGAUUGACACUGAGGCACGAAAGCGUGGGGAUCAAACAGG
rnacentral:rRNA from 1 species